AAGAAAAGAGGCUGUCAGAUUAGCCAAGGAGACUCCCUGGCGACCAAACAAAAGGCUUCAUGCUUGAAACCUAAUGAUAUUGACAGCCGCAGGCAAGUCAUCCUUGGCUAACAAACGUUACUCUUAUCU
rnacentral:pre_miRNA from 1 species